AUGACCAUUACUCUAAGUGGGCACAGCUGAGUGAGGACUCCAGCAAGGCCUCUUCGGAAGGAGACCGUGCAUGGCGACUCUUCGCCCCCUCGCCCACCUCCUCAUCUAUUUACUCGCCUAUUCCUGUGUUUACUCAUGUUUGUACUUGUUGAUUUAUUUUUUUAGCAUCUUUGUAGAAGACUAGGCAGCUGAGCUGGACGGAAGCCACUUGGUCACCGAAAGCCUUUCCCACGGGCCAAGAAAUGGCCGAUUUCUCUCAAAUGCUGUAUACUGGAAGAAUCCAAAGGAUUCAUCAGAUGGACACAUUUCAAAGAACCACUACCAAUUUUUUUUUCUUAAGAAGUGCAUCAAGCCUCUGAUUUGCUGCUGACAAAUUGUCUGCUCAGCAUGGAGGUCAUAAAGAUGAGUUUGAAAUGCCUCAAAGAGUGCAGCGCCUCAUGGGAGAGUCAGACAGAGAGGCAGCCAAGUCUAAAGCCAGUCCUCGCGGCCGGCAGGGCCCAGAGCUACGCAGAGUCCCAGGGCAGAGCGUGAUUAAAGUCCUAAAGUGCAGCAGGGAGAGCCGCCCCAGCCUGCGCCCCCAUGUGCCCCAAAGCCUGGUGAGUGCUUGCCGAGGAGCUGUAACAUCCAUAAUGUAAUAACACCAGUCAACAGGAAAACGGGGUUGCGUUACAGCAUUUCACUUGGAGUAAAUUUUGCCGAAAUGCCCAUAGUUACAAACUGAAGGACAGGCCGUCUACCAGAAAGCUUAAAAGCUGCGGGAAAGGAUUCUCUGUAACCCCUUUUCAGACCCCUUUGAGAGCUGGGCCACAAGGCUGACAAAAUGUAGGUGUUAAACCUCAAGUUUUUGAUCACAAAACGGACUGUAGGAUACGGACUAUAAAUUGUCAGAGGUUGAGGAUUAAUGACCAUUUUUCCUCCAUAUGUGGAGAAAUAAGCACUCAGAACAGAAACGCCCUCUAGCCAAACACCCGGGAUCCAGUCAGGCCUGGUACUGUGUUACCACCACCCUCUGAAGUAAGGUUUUGAAAAUAAACACUUGAAAGUCUGCCCAGAUUGUUGUAAUCUUAUUAAUCUAACAAAGAGACUCAGUAACCGCCUCAGCCAGGGGGAUGGUGUUUACCAUGUAAUUUGCAACAAGCUGAUAAACACACCCUUGCCCCACUUGCAGAAGAAUCCAUGCUCCCAGCAAGGAAGGAGUUGGCAGAGAAACAGUGAUAAAGGAUUAGAGACCAAAAACCCGCAGUGUGGGUCCUGGGUAAGCGUUUGCUGCCUCCCCUACCUGCUGGCCUCCCAGCCCCCUACCAUCUCCAGGUUCAGAGGUAUGGGUGUGGCUUCUGCCUGUCCUGCCCUCCCAAGGGCUCUGUCAUCAUGCCUCUGGCCCUUCCACCAUCAGCCUAACCCUGGUCUCCAGGGGGCAGUGAUAUUUGACGACACUGUUGAGCUUGGCUCCUCUAAGAGUUCUUGGCGGUGUGGAAAUUAAUAAGAAACCUCAACCAAAGUGGAGAGGUGGCGGCCUCUAGGGGGAGCUCUCGCACCCUAUCACACACCAUCAGUUACACCAAACGGGAAGAGACUCAUACUUGCAUCUCUGACAAGUACAACUACUUCACUACUGAAGGAAGAUUUCUCUCCCCACCCGGCAACAGCCCAGCCAAUGAGAAACACCACAGCUCAGCCAAUGAGAAACGCCGCAGCUCAGCCAAUGAGAGAUGCCGCAGCUCAGCCAAUGAGAGACGCCACAGCUCAGUCAAUGAGAAAUGCCACAGCUCAGCCAAUGAGAGAUGCCGCAGCUCAGCCAAUGAGAGAUGCCGCAGCUCAGCCAAUGAGAGAUGCCACAGCUCAGCCAAUGAGAAGCUGUUGUCACCCUGAACUGUAACUUCCCUCCAAUGGACUUUCCUUUAGAACAACCUCUCCUUACUCCCCACUUUUCUCUAGAAAAAGCAGCUCCCCUCCUUUAUUUUCUGGAUUUGCCUCUGGUUCACCGUAGCAUGUGCUUCCUGGAUUGCACUUGUUUUGGCUAUUCCUGAAUAAACUCAUUUUGAGGGUAAAUAGCAGGUGAAUUUGAUCCUGAAGUUGACAGUUGCAAACCAGUGGACAACCCCUGGCUAACUCACCAGAAAAGGAAUUUAUUGCAAGAGCAGAGGGCAGGGGCCAGGAAGGUUAGCAAUGGGGGUUAUGCCAAGUUACCACAGGGACAGUCCGGCUGCCCGGCCACACAGGCCUGCCACCCCUUCCUCAUGGCCACCAGCUCUGCAGAUCACCCCUAAGGGUCGUUGGGCACCUUUGUCUCACUCCCUCAGGAUUAAAAUCCCAAGAGGGGGUGUGUAUUUGGCUGCCCCCAGGCCCACCUUCACCCUCCUUUGUGUGGGGUAAGCCCUGCCUCCCACCAGGACCCACACAAGAGGAAGAGAUUUCAAUGUUGGGUAGUAAAAAAAAUGAAAAAUAUCCACUUCACUCUUCUAAAUAAUAACAGCUAACAUUUACUGAGCACUGUGCCAAGCAUGUUAAAUGGAUGAACUCACUGAGUCCUCACUAUAAGAAAGGACUCCAUUUUACCUAUGAGAAACUGAGGCACAAGAAACCAAGUAACAUGCUCAAGUUUACAGAGCUAGGAAGUCACAGAACUGUGAGUCCAACUUCACCAUGGGGUUUGGAGGGAGGUCGGUUACUGUCUGCAGAGGCUCUGGAAGCCACAUGUAAACCUCGCCUAAGAUGAGCCUCGCUCACAUGAGCUGGCUCACCCCGGUUUCCAUCUCUACCCUGCUCUCCUCCCCUGUGCCCUGUUUUGCUUUGCUUCCAGGCUCACCGACUCCCUCGCCCACCUCGUCCCUCUAGACUCUCGGCCAGGCCCUUGCACCCCCAUCUGCCUGCACAGGGCCCUUCUCUUAUUUAACCCUGGUUUGCAAGAGUAUGUGGCCCAAAUAGGAAAUGCACCAGGAGGCCGAAUGCCAUGAUUAAUUCUAUGUGAUAAAUUCCUCCACCAUAUUUUAAAAACUGUUUGUCCUUAUGAGAGUCUGUUCCAGGAUCUGAAUGACUGAGUAAAAAAGCAUAUUAACCUUUACAAAUCUAAUGUUUCUAAUUUUUAAAAAAGUGUCAUCAAUCAGUGAUUUUAGCACAUAUAGCAAUAGGAUUUGACAUUAAGGGAUGUCUAUUAUUUUUUAAAAACUGACAUACUUUGAAUCUGGUACGUGGCGGGCAGCUGAUCAAUAUCUGCCGCCUUAGGGAAUGGGAAUCAGAGGCCUGUGGCUCUGGUAUUGCAGCCUUUUUUGAAAGACUGACAUUCUUUUCGUGAACAUGUUACAAACAAAGCCUCAUUUUCAGUCUUAAAAUGUCCUGAUUUUUAAUUCCUUUAUUUAUUUCCCUGGUUCUUACCUCUUUUAGAUUGCUGAUUACUCCGCUUGCACUGUUGGGAGAGGGAUUUUUUCCUUAGAAGUAAUUUUAGUGACCCCACCCCCCAGCAGGAGAGAAUUUUUCCUGUUCCACGCCAUUACCGAAAUCUAAAUACGGCUAUUUAGUUUCUGAAUCUACUGGGGGCACUGUGUGCAUCAGUCUGUCUUCUGCAUGGCCCAUAUCCCACUGUAAUUUCUCAGCAAGACAUAAUAAUUAUCCAUAAUUGUAGUGGGCAUCACAGUCGGACAAAGUCAGAACAUUAAACCCAUCCUUCUAAAAACAAAAUACAGGUGGUGCACUGUGUCUUUUGCAGUCCCAAGUUGUGGGCAGAAGGUACCUGAUAAGCUCCUUAAACUCAAUUCUGAGUAAAGUUUCUAAAAUGACAUUAGGCCAAUACUUCAGAAAUAAAUCCGUUUUGAAUAAAAAGAAUUUAGGAUUUAAGACUCCAGGAGUGAUAUAAAAUGGAAAGGAAAGCCCUCAAAACGCCUUUUCUUAAAUCAGAAUGAUUGAAUUUGUUUCCACCAGCUUGAUCCUUUCCUGAAGGCGGCGAACCAGAGGCCCUCCAGUUGCCCUCAGACCUCUUGUCAAUCUCCUGCCACAAAAAUGAGGCAAUGUUACCUCCAGGCCUUUAUCCCACCUCCCCUCAGCCAGAGCACCUGCCAGGCUGCGUCAGAAAUGAGUGAUGCCAGCACAGAUGGACGUCCGCGCUCCAGCUCUGGGGGGCCCUCGGGAGGAGAGGAGGAGCCCCCAUAGCCAACGCCAGCCCCCCUCCCAGACAGUCGGGCUGACACUCCCUCCGGCGUGGAUCUGUCGUACCCCAUUGUCAGCGGCAGAGCGGGUGGGCAGAUGUGUGCGUGGUCAGAUGGCCGAGAUGCUGCCACAAUGGGGUGGCUGUUCGGCGUGUUUCUGCAGGAGGGUGACAGCCUAGCGGCAGCUGCAAAGUUACUUAAGGAGCUCGCCUCUCCCAGCAUCUAAACCCCAUAAAAGCAGUUUCCUUAAAACUUCUCUAAGGUUGCUGCUCACACUGUGAGUCCCUUGAGGGUAGCUACCUGGCUCACCGGGUGAAUUAAGCAUCUGGAGCAUCAACGAAACCUCUGUGGCCCGACAGCAGCGAUGGACAGGCUGAUGAGAGUCUCCUGAGGUUCCUGGGCCUCCUGUGGGGCACACAGACCUGUAGUCAGACAGCUGUGGGUUCCGAUUCCAGCCACCCGAGCAAGCUCCCUA
rnacentral:lncRNA from 1 species